rnacentral:rRNA from 1 species
UACGGGGGGGGCAAGCGUUGUUCGGAAUUACUGGGCGUAAAGGGCUCGUAGGUGGCCAACUAAGUCAGACGUGAAAUCCCUCGGCUUAACCGGGGAACUGCGUCUGAUACUGGAUGGCUUGAGUUCGGGAGAGGGAUGCAGAAUUCCAGGUGUAGCGGUGAAAUGCGUAGAUAUCUGGAGGAAUACCGGUGGCGAAGGCGGCAUCCUGGACCGGCAUUGACGCUGAGGAGCGAAAGCUAGGGGAGCAAACGGG